UACGGGGGGGAGCAAGCGUUGUUCGGAUUUACUGGGCGUAAAGGGCGCGUAGGCGGUCAGCACAAGUCAGUUGUGAAAUCUCCGGGCUUAACUCGGAAAGGUCAACUGAUACUGUGCGACUAGAGUGCGGAAGGGGCAACUGGAAUUCUCGGUGUAGCGGUGAAAUGCGCAGAUAUCAGGAGGAACACCAAUGGCGAAGGCAGCUCGCUGGGACGGUACUGACGCUGAGACGCGAAAGCGUGGGGAGCAAACAGG
rnacentral:rRNA from 1 species